rnacentral:rRNA from 1 species
CCUACGGGAGGCAGCAGUGAGGAAUAUUGGUCAAUGGGCUUACGCCUGAACCAGCCAAGUCGCGUGAGGGAAGACUGCCCUAUGGGUUGUAAACCUCUUUUGUCAGGGAGCAACGCCGGCUACGUGUAGCCGGACUGAGAGUAACUGAAGAAAAAGCAUCGGCUAACUCCGUGCCAGCAGACGCGGUAAUACGGAGGAUGCGAGCGUUAUCCGGAUUUAUUGGGUUUAAAGGGUGCGUAGGCGGAAUGCCAAGUCGACGGUAAAAUCGCGGGGCUCAACCUCGCUCCGCCGUUGAAACUGGCGUUCUUGAGUGGGCGAGAAGUAUGCGGAAUGUGUGGUGUAGCGGUGAAAUGCAUAGAUAUCACACAGAACUCCGAUUGCGAAGGCAGCAUACCGGCGCCCAACUGACGCUGAAGCACGAAAGCGUGGGGAUCGAACAGGAUUAGAUACCCGAGUAGUC